AAGGUAACGGCUUACCAAGGCAACGAUGCAUAGCCGACCUGAGAGGGUGAUCGGCCACACUGGAACUGAGACACGGUCCAGACUCCUACGGGAGGCAGCAGUAGGGAAUCUUCCGCAAUGGGCGAAAGCCUGACGGAGCAACGCCGCGUGAGUGAUGAAGGUCUUCGGAUCGUAAAACUCUGUUAUUAGGGAAGAACAUAUGUGUAAGUAACUGUGCACAUCUUGACGGUACCUAAUCAGAAAGCCACGGCUAACUACGUGCCAGCAGCCGCGGUAAUACGUAGGUGGCAAGCGUUAUCCGGAAUUAUUGGGCGUAAAGCGCGCGUAGGCGGUUUUUUAAGUCUGAUGUGAAAGCCCACGGCUCAACCGUGGAGGGUCAUUGGAAACUGGAAAACUUGAGUGCAGAAGAGGAAAGUGGAAUUCCAUGUGUAGCGGUGAAAUGCGCAGAGAUAUGGAGGAACACCAGUGGCGAAGGCGACUUUCUGGUCUGUAACUGACGCUGAUGUGCGAAAGCGUGGGGAUCAAACAGGAUUAGAUACCCUGGUAGUCCACGCC
rnacentral:rRNA from 1 species